rnacentral:rRNA from 1 species
CCAUUCGGGUGCUACCAUGCAGUCGACGUGAAGGGAUAGCAAUAUCCUGGAAAGUGGCGAACGGGUGAGUAACACGUAGGUAACCUGCCGCGCAGAGGGGGAUAACCAUUGGAAACGAUGGCUAAGACCGCAUGGUCCUUGUCUAGCGGGAGCUAGGCAGGGUAAAGUGUCAGCGCUGCGCGAGGGGCCUGCGUCCGAUUAGCUAGUUGGUGAGGUAAAGGCUCACCAAGGCGAUGAUCGGUAGCUGGUCUGAGAGGAUGAUCAGCCACACGGGAACUGAGACACGGUCCCGACUCCUACGGGGGGCAGCAGUGAGGAAUAUUGCACAAUGGACGCAAGUCUGAUGCAGCAACGCCGCGUGGAGGAUGACAGUCUUUGGAUUGUAAACUCCUUUUAUCGGGGAAGAGUAGGGACGGUACCCGAGGAAUCAGUCACGGCUAACUACGUGCCAGCAGCCGCGGUAAUACGUAGGUGGCGAGCGUUAUCCGGAAUUACUGGGCGUAAAGCGCACGCAGGCGGCGCGUUAAGUCUGACGUGAAAGCUCCUGGCUUAACUGGGAGAGGUCGUUGGAGACUGGCGGGCUUGAGGUGAGGAGAGGGGUGCAGAAUUCCCGGUGUAGUGGUGGAAUGCGUAGAGAUCGGGAGGAAUACCAGUGGCGCAAGCGGCGCCCUAGCCUUGACCUGACGCUCAUGUGCGAAAGCGUGGGGAGCGAACGGGAUUAGAUACCCCGGUAGUCCACGCCGUAAACGAUGAACACUGGGUGUGGGUGGAGUGAAAUCCAUCUGUGCCGAAGCCAACGCGCUAAGUGUUCCGCCUGGGGAGUACGGCCGCAAGGCUAAAACUCAAAGGAAUUGACGG